GUGAUUGCGGCCAAAGUGCCUUCACGCGUUGCUUCUGGUGCAGAGAAUAUUUAUGUUUUGAAUGUUACUAUGAUAGGUACCAUCCCGACGAAUGCGCUACAUAUUGUUGAAUUAAUCGGGAGAUAAUGUAAUAAUAAACAUAAAAAUCAAUAAUGAUAAUAAGGAACGUUCGCGCAGCAUACUUUGACGAAGAAUUUGAAAAAAAAAAAAAACAUUUCUGACCGGACUCGAACCCGGAACAUCAAUUCUCGAAGCUGUCACGCUAGCCGCUGCACCGCUGAUCUGCUUGUACAAAUGGCGCGCGGCCAGACUCAUGAAGCAACGUCAAAAUUUUACGUGUUUCAAUCGUAAUUUUCUCGAAAACGGUUGAGUGUCUACGGAUAAGCCGAAACACGUAUCCGUUUUUUUUUGCUAUUCUUCCAUCCUGUGAAGUUUCGUCAAAAUCGGUGGGUGGCACUUGGCAAGGUCUCCUUUCAGAUAGAGGUCGAGGCUCCGGUCCCAGCUCUGAUCGCCCGGCCCCCUGUGCUUGCGCGGUCGUGCUCCAAAUCCCCGCGACCGUUCACAUUAGCGGAGGAUCUCUCCAGAUCCUCCACUAUUUAAGGGAAGAGGAGGCGGGGCGCUUAGCCAGAUACCGUGGGAUGGCGGUAUGGAAUGAGCUCGCGGCGAACGAACUAAUACCGGGGAGGUCGGCGCACACAUUGAGCGGCCGUUUCAGAAAGGUACUGCUGAACCGGAUAGAGGAUUAUUCGAAGCUUCCCGAUAGUGUUCGAGCGGCGGUGAUCGCCGAGCGGGACGACCAGCUGUAGGUUAAGUUAGGUUUUGUUAACAAUAAGUCAAGUUAUUUUGAUCGACCGUAAGAUUAACAGGCAAUUUAAAAAAAUUAUUCCCGUCUAGGAUACCAAACGUGCGCGUGAAGGAAAAAAAAAACAGAGGCUCAGAUAGAGGUCGAGGCUCCGGUCCCAGCUCUGAUCGCCCGGCCCCCUGUGCUUGCGCGGUCGUGCUCCAAAUCCCCGCGACCGUUCACAUUAGCGGAGGAUCUGCAGAUCCUCCACUAUUUAAGGGAAGAGGAGGCGGGGCGCUUAGCCAGAUACCGUGGGAUGGCGGUAUGGAAUGAGCUCGCGGCGAACGAACUAAUACCGGGGAGGUCGGCGCACACAUUGAGCGGCCGUUUCAGAAAGGUACUGCUGAACCGGAUAGAGGAUUAUUCGAAGCUUCCCGAUAGUGUUCGAGCGGCGGUGAUCGCCGAGCGGGACGACCAGCUGUAGGUUAAGUUAGGUUUUGUUAACAAUAAGUCAAGUUAUUUUGAUCGACCGUAAGAUUAACAGGCAAUUUAAAAAAAUUAUUCCCGUCUAGGAUACCAAACGUGCGCGUGAAGG